UCAUUUUGCACGAAAUUGCUACAAGGCCAAGAAAAGAGAUAGAGAAAAUGCUAACAAUGCAUGUGAUGAAGUUGGUGGAGAUGAUUAUGCAUUCAUGGCAAGUGAAGGCACGUCUAUGGCUGCCAUGUCCAAAUGGAUCAUUGAUUCGGGUGCUACCAAGCACAUGACUCCAUACAAGUGUUCAUUUGACACUUAUGAGACUAUUCCAAC
rnacentral:lncRNA from 1 species